rnacentral:rRNA from 1 species
GACAGAGGUGCCGAGCGUUAGGCGGAAUCACUGGGCUUAAGGCGUGUGUAGGCGGACGGCUAAGUGCUUUGUGAAAUCCCACGGCUCAACCGUGGAACUGCUUGGCAUACUGGUCGUCUUGAGCCAGCUAGGGGCAACCGGAACAAAUGGUGGAGCGGUGAAAUGCGUAGAUAUCAUUUGGAACGCCAAUGGUGAAAACAGGUUGCUGGGGCUGUGCUGACGCUGAGACACGAAAGCCAGGGGAGCGAACGGG